UCCGAUGAUGGCAUGGAAUCUUUGAGACCUGAUCUUUUUCAUCUUGGUGAAAACCAUAAGCAUGUUUCUGAGGAC